UACGUAGGGGGCAAGCGUUGUCCGGAUUUAUUGGGCGUAAAGAGCGUGUAGGCGGCCAGGUAGGUCCGCUGUGAAAACUCGAGGCUCAACCUCGAGAUGUCGGCGGAAACCAUUUGGCUAGAGUCCGGAAGAGGAAAGUGGAAUUCCUGGUGUAGCGGUGAAAUGCGCAGAUAUCAGGAAGAACACCAAUGGCGAAAGCAGCUUUCUGGGACGGUACUGACGCUGAGAUGCGAAAGCGUGGGGAGCGAACAGG
rnacentral:rRNA from 1 species